GCCCAGUUGGCGCAGUGGUAGCGCGCUCCCUUGACAUGGGAGAGGCCAUAGGUUCAAAUCCUAUACUGGGCACCA
rnacentral:tRNA from 1 species